rnacentral:rRNA from 1 species
AAAGUUUGAUCCUGGCUCAMRGRKAMAYACUGGCGGCGUGCAUGAGACAUGCAAGUCGAACGAACGAGCUUGCUCGUUAGUGGCGAACGGCUGAGUAACGCGUAGGUGACCUGCCCCGAAGUGGGGGAUAACUGCCCGAAAGGGUGGCUAAUACCGCAUGUGGCGACGCUUUCAUUGGCGUCAUCAAAGCCGCGAGGCGCUUCGGGAGGGGCCUGCGUCCGAUUAGCUCGUUGGUGGGGUAAUGGCUCACCAAGGCGACGAUCGGUAGGUGGUCUGAGAGGACGAUCACCCAGACUGGGACUGAGACACGGCCCAGACUCCUACGGGAGGCAGCAGUCGGGAAUUUUGCUCAAUGGGCGAAAGCCUGAAGCAGCAACGCCGCGUGAGGGAUGAAGGCCUUCGGGUUGUAAACCUCUUUUUCCAGGGACGAUAAUGACGGUACCUGAAGAAUAAGUCACGGCUAACUACGUGCCAGCAGCCGCGGUAAUACGUAGGUGACUAGCGUUGUCCGGAUUUACUGGGCGUAAAGAGCGCGCAGGCGGUCGUUCAAGUCGAGUGUGAAAGCCCCCGGCUCAACUGGGGAGGGUCACUCGAUACUGAUCGACUGGAAGGCAGGAGAGGGAAGCGGAAUUCCCGGUGUGGUGGUGAAAUGCGUAGAUAUCGGGAGGAACACCAGUGGCGAAGGCGGCUUCCUGGCCUGUUCUUGACGCUGAGGCGCGAAAGCUAGGGGAGCAAACGGGAUUAGAUACCCCGGUAGUCCUAGCCGUAAACGAUGGACACUAGGUGUUGGUGGUAUCAACCCCACCAGUGCCGAAGCUAACGCAUUAAGUGUCCCGCCUGGGGAGUACGGCCGCAAGGCUAAAACUCAAAGGAAUUGACGGGGCCCCGCACAGCAGCGGAGCGUGGGGUUUAAUUCGAUGCAACGCGAGAUCUUACCAGGCUGACAUGACCAGGAUCCGGCGAAACGUCGCSCYCGCAGGGCCUGACACAGUGAUGCAUGCUGUCGUCGCUCGKGUCUGGAAAUGCUGGGUCAGUCCCGCCACGAGCGCAACCCUAUCUGGUUGUUCACUCMMCSRACUGCCGAGACUCGGAGGAGGCGGAUGACGUCAGUCRCAUGCCCUUACGCUCCUKGGCUUACCCCAASU